AUUGAACGCUGGCGGCAGGCCUAACACAUGCAAGUCGAGCGAGCGGCGGACGGGUGAGUAAUGUAUGGGGAACUGCCCGAUGGAGGGGGAUAACUACUGGAAACGGUGGCUAAUACCGCAUACUAUCGGAUGUACCCAUAUGGGAUUAGCUAGUAGGUGGGGUAAAGGCUCACCUAGGCGACGAUCUCUAGCUGGUCUGAGAGGAUGAUCAGCCACACUGGAACUGAGACACGGCCCAGACUCCUACGGGAGGCAGCAGUGGGGAAUAUUGCACAAUGGGCGCAAGCCUGAUGCAGCCAUGCCGCGUGUAUGAAGAAGGCCUUCGGGUUGUAAAGUACUUUCAGCGGGGAGGCGUUACCCGCAGAAGAAGCACCGGCUAACUCCGUGCCAGCAGCCGCGGUAAUUC
rnacentral:rRNA from 1 species